rnacentral:rRNA from 1 species
UAGAGUUUGAUCCUGGCUCAGAAUCAACGCUGGCGGCGCGCUUAACACAUGCAAGUCGCACGAGAAAGUGGAGCAAUCCAUGAGUACAGUGGCGUACGGGUGAGUAACACGUGGGUAAUCUACCUCUGAGUGGGGAAUAACCCUGGGAAACCGGGGCUAAUACCGCAUAUUCUCGAGAGAGGAAAGCAGCAAUGCGCUGAGAGAGGAGCCCGCGGCCGAUUAGCUAGUUGGCAGGAUAAAAGCCUACCAAGGCAUAGAUCGGUAGCCGGCCUGAGAGGGCACACGGCCACACUGGCACUGAAACACGGGCCAGACUCCUACGGGAGGCAGCAGUGGGGAAUCUUGCACAAUGGGGGAAACCCUGAUGCAGCGACGCCGCGUGAGCGAUGAAGCCCCUCGGGGUGUAAAGCUCUUUCGGCGGGGAAGAUGAUGACGGUACCUGCAGAAGCAGCUGCGGCUAACUACGUGCCAGCAGCCGCGGUAAUACGUAGGCAGCGAGCGUUGUUCGGAGUUACUGGGCGUAAAGGGUGUGUAGGCGGUUGUUUAAGUUUGGUGUGAAAUCUCCCGGCUCAACUGGGAGGGUGCGCCGAAUACUGAAUGACUUCGAGUGCGGGAGAGGAGAGUGGAAUUCCUGGUGUAGCGGUGAAAUGCGUAGAUAUCAGGAGGAACACCGGCGGUGUAGACGGCUCUCUGGACCGUAACUGACGCUGAACACGAAAGCGUGGGUAGCAGACAGGAUAGAUACCCUGGUAGUCCACUCCCUAACGAUGCAUAUUUGGUGUGGGUCAUUCAGUGAUCCGUGCCGGAGCUCACGCGUUAAAUUAUGCGUCUGGCGAGUACAGUCGCAUGCUGAACUCAACGAAUUGACGAGGGCCUCGCACAUUCGGUGGGACCAUACUGGG